rnacentral:pre_miRNA from 1 species
UUGAGCGCUAUAGCGGUGAAUAGUGGAGUAGCGGAGAACCCCCAGGGCGCUACGCUAUAGCACUAUUGCGCCGCUAUGGCGCGCAA